CCUACGGGAGACAGCAGUCGAGAAUCAUUCACAAUGGGGGAAACCCUGAUGGGGCGACGCCGCGUGGGGGAAUGAAGGUCUUCGGAUUGUAAACCCCUGUCAUGUGGGAGCAAAUUAAAAAGAUAGUACCACAAGAGGAAGAGACGGCUAACUCUGUGCCAGCAGCCGCGGUAAUACAGAGGUCUCAAGCGUUGUUCGGAAUCACUGGGCGUAAAGCGUGCGUAGGCUGUUUCGUAAGUCGUGUGUGAAAGGCGCGGGCUCAACCCGCGGACGGCACAUGAUACUGCGAGACUAGAGUAAUGGAGGGGGAACCGGAAUUCUCGGUGUAGCAGUGAAAUGCGUAGAUAUCGAGAGGAACACUCGUGGCGAAGGCGGGUUCCUGGACAUUAACUGACGCUGAGGCACGAAGGCCAGGGGAGCGAAAAGGAUUAGAUACCCCUGUAGUC
rnacentral:rRNA from 1 species